rnacentral:rRNA from 1 species
AUACGGAGGGUGCAAGCGUUAAUCGGAAUUACUGGGCGUAAAGCGCGCGUAGGCGGCUUGGUAAGUCGGAUGUGAAAUCCCCGGGCUUAACCUGGGAAUUGCAUUCGAUACUGUCAGGCUAGAGUGUGGUAGAGGGAAGUGGAAUUUCCGGUGUAGCGGUGAAAUGCGUAGAUAUCGGAAGGAACACCAGUGGCGAAGGCGGCUUCCUGGAACAACUCUGACGCUGAGGCGCGAAAGCGUGGGGAGCAAACAGGAUUAGAAACCCUAGUAGUCC